CCUACGGGGGGCAGCAAUUAGGAAUCUUGCGCAAUGGGCGAAAGCCUGACGCAGCGACGCCGCGUGGAGGAUGACGGGUUUCGGCCUGUAAACUCCUUUUAACGGGGAAGAAGAAUGUGACGGUACCCGUUGAAUAAGCCCCGGCUAACUACGUGCCAGCAGCCGCGGUAAUACGUAGGGGGCGAGCGUUGUCCGAAGUUACUGGGCGUAAAGCGCGCGUAGGCGGCUUUUUAAGUUUGGUGUGAAAGGUUCAGGGCUCAACCCGAACAGUGCACUGAAUACUGGGAAGCUUGAGUGGGGGAGAGGAAGGUGGAAUUCCUGGUGUAGCGGUGAAAUGCGUAGAUAUCAGGAGGAACACCGGUGGCGAAGGCGGCCUUCUGGCCUCUUACUGACGCUGAGGCGCGAAAGCGUGGGGAGCGAACGGGAUUAGAUACCCUUGU
rnacentral:rRNA from 1 species